UACGUAGGUGGCGAGCGUUGUCCGGAUUUACUGGGCGUAAAGAGCGCGCAGGCGGUCGUUCAAGUCGCGUGUGAAAGCCCCCGGCUCAACUGGGGAGGGUCACGCGAUACUGAUCGACUCGAAGGCAGGAGAGGGUAGUGGAAUUCCCGGUGUAGUGGUGAAAUGCGUAGAUAUCGGGAGGAACACCAGUGGCGAAGGCGACUACCUGGCCUGUUCUUGACGCUGAGGCGCGGAAGCUAGGGGAGCAAACGGGG
rnacentral:rRNA from 1 species